GCUGGCGGCAGGCCUAACACAUGCAAGUCGAGCGAGAAAGGUCUUCGGACUGAGUACAGCGGCGGACGGGUGAGUAACGCGUAGGAAUCUACCCGGUAGUGGGGGACAACAUGGGGAAACCCAUGCUAAUACCGCAUACGCCCUAUGGGGGAAAGCGGGGGACCUUCGGGCCUCGCGCUAUCGGAAGAGCCUGCGUUGGAUUAGCUUGUUGGUGAGGUAAAGGCUCACCAAGGCGACGAUCCAUAGCUGGUCUGAGAGGAUGAUCAGCCACACUGGGACUGAGACACGGCCCAGACUCCUACGGGAGGCAGCAGUGGGGAAUAUUGCGCAAUGGGGGCAACCCUGACGCAGCCAUGCCGCAUGUGUGAAGAAGGCCUUCGGGUUGUAAAGCACUUUCAAUUGGGAAGAAAGGUUGCCGGUUAAUACCCGGUAGCUGUGACAUUACCUUUAGAAGAAGCACCGGCUAACUCCGUGCCAGCAGCCGCGGUAAUACGGAGGGUGCGAGCGUUAAUCGGAAUUACUGGGCGUAAAGCGCGCGUAGGCGGUUUGUUAAGUUGGAUGUGAAAGCCCCGGGCUCAACCUG
rnacentral:rRNA from 1 species